GACGAACGCUGGCGGCGCGCUUAACACAUGCCAGUCGAACGGAAAGGCCUGCUUUCCCUUGUGGAUUGCGGGUACUCGAGUGGCGAACGGGUGAGUAACACGUGAGUGAUCUGCCCCCAACUUGGGUAUAAGCCUGGGAAACUGGGUCUAAUUCCCGAUAGGACUGCAGGGUGGUGCCUGUGGUGGAAAACGAUUUUCUAGUGGUUGGGGAUGAGCUCGCGGCCUAUCAGCUUGUUGGUGGGGUAAUGGCCUACCAAGGCGGCGACGGGUAGCCGGCCUGGGAGGGUGGACGGCCACAUUGGGACUGAGAUACGGCCCAGACUCCUACGGGAGGCAGCAGUGGGGAAUAUUGCACAAUGGGCGGAAGCCUGAUGCAGCGACGCCGCGGGGGGGAUGACGGCCUUCGGGUUGUAAACUCCUUUCGACCGCGAGGAAGCCACCUGGUUGGAAGGGUGGUGACGGUAGUGGUAGAAGAAGCACCGGCUAACUACGUG
rnacentral:rRNA from 1 species